GAUGAACGCUAGCGGCAGGCUUAAUACAUGCAAGGUUGAGGGGCAGCAUGAUAUACGCGAGUAUAUUGAUGGCGACCGGCGGACGGGUGGGUAAUAGGUAGGAGACCUACCUCAUACAGGGGGAUAGCAUAGAGAAAUCUGUGGUAAUACCCCAUGAGGUUAUAUGAAUAGAGGCAUAUAAUCAAAGCAUAAGCGAUUAUGCGGUAUGAGAGGGGCCUACUGACCAUUAGCUAGUUGGUGAGGUAAGGGCUCACCAAGGCGAAGAUGGUUAGGGGUUUUGAGAGAGAGACCCCCCCACAUUGGAACUGAGAGACGGUCCAGACUCCUACGGGAGGCAGCAGUAGGGAAUAUUGGGCAAUGGGCGAAAGCCUGACCCAGCCAUGCCGCGUGAAGGAAGACGGCCUUAUGGGUUGUAAACUUCUUUACUACGCGAAUAGAGGUUAGUACGAGAUACUAAUAGGAAGGUAGUGUAGUAAAAAGCACCGGCUAACUCCGUG
rnacentral:rRNA from 1 species